rnacentral:rRNA from 1 species
UACGUAGGGUGCGAGCGUUGUCCGGAAUUAUUGGGCGUAAAGAGCUCGUAGGCGGUUUGUUGCGUCUAUCGUGAAAACCUGCGGCUUAACUGUGGGCUUGCGGUGGAUACGGGCAGACUUGAGUUCGGUAGGGGAGACUGGAAUUCCUGGUGUAACGGUGAAAUGCGCAGAUAUCAGGAGGAACACCGGUGGCGAAGGCGGGUCUCUGGGCCGAUACUGACGCUGAGGAGCGAAAGCGUGGGGAGCGAACAGG